CGUGUGUGUGUGUGUGUGUGUGUGUGUGUGUGUGUGUGUGUGUGUGUGUGUGUGUGCGUGUGUGCGUGUGUGUUAGUUAGACUCAAGAGCAACAGGAAAACUCUCUAUUCAAAGCUUCUUGAGCAC